AUGUGAGGCAGAUGAAUAAUAAUAGUGCUGAAAGAAAUUCCACCACGCCUACUGAGGAAAAAAGAGAGAAUGAUAAACCGGAGACGAUUGUGUUUCACCCUUGCCAGGAACAGGAGGAGUCUCCGGGAUCAAGCUUUGAUGAAUGCAGAAGUCCACUUUCAAGAGGCCUCAGACUCCUAAGAUGGGCAUAGGAGCGUUGCUAUAUUCGCCUCAGCCCUCCAAAACGGAAGCCAUUUCAUCGAUGAAGGU